CCGGAUGCUGCUUUCGGGUCCGGUGGACAUAGAGAGCGCCGGCUCUCACUUCCGGCGUUUCUCAUGCCCAGAUUGCUCACAGGAGGAUUUGGAAAUGAGAA
rnacentral:sRNA from 1 species